rnacentral:lncRNA from 1 species
UCGAAUCAAUUCAUUUGUAUUCACUUUUGUUAUUUUCCCUCCAUUUAUGCAAAAAAAUAAAAACAAAAAUAUUAACUCGUCUUCCAUUCACUUAUCUUUUUCAAAUUGUUGUUUUAGCAAAGAUUUGAGAGAGGAUGAUGAAAACUAGAUACCUAAAAUUGUUAUGGUAUGCUUUCAAUUAGAAUCUUGCUGAUGAUGUAAGACAUUG